rnacentral:tRNA from 1 species
UUAAUUGAAGCCAAAGAGAGGUAACUUAUUGUUAAUAAGAAAAUUGAAUUUUUUCCAAUUAA